GCGCACGUGGUCUACUGGAUGGGCAACGUUCUUCUAAAGCGUUUAAAGCAAGUUCGAUUCUUGCCGUGCGUG
rnacentral:tRNA from 1 species